rnacentral:rRNA from 1 species
AAGGAGUCUAACAUGUGCGCGAGUCAUUGGGUUCGUCAACGAAACCCAGAGGCGCAGUGAAAGUGAAGGCUACUCUAAGGUAGCAGAGGGAGGAUGGUACCGGCAUAGUCCGGGGCUCGCACUCCCGGGGCGUUUCACCCUCAUUGCGAGGAGAGACGCACCUAGAGCGUACACGUUGGGACCCGAAAGAUGGUGAACUAUGCCUGGCCAGGACGAAGUCAGGGGAAACCCUGAUGGAGGUCCGUAGCGAUUCUGACGUGCAAAUCGAUCGUCAGAGCUGGGUAUAGGGGCGAAAGACUAAUCGAAUCAUCUAGUAGCUGGUUCCCUCCGAAGUUUCCCUCAGGAUAGCUGGUACUCGGAGGAACGAGUCUCAUAUGGUAAAGCGAAUGAUUAGAGGCCUUGGGGCCGAAACGACCUCAACCUAUUCUCAAACUUUAAAUGGGUGAGAUCUCCGGCUUGCUCAAUAUGAAGCCGGGGAUGGAUCAGAGUGCCAAGUGGGCCACUUUU